rnacentral:rRNA from 1 species
GACAGAGGGUGCAAACGUUGUUCGGAAUUACUGGGCGUAAAGCGCGUGUAGGCGGCCCGGAAAGUCGGAUGUGAAAGCCCUGGGCUUAACCUAGGAAGUGCAUUCGAAACUCCCGGGCUUGAGUUCUGGAGAGGAAGGCGGAAUUCUCGGUGUAGAGGUGAAAUUCGUAGAUAUCGAGAGGAACACCGGUGGCGAAGGCGGCCAGCUGGGCCGUCCCUGACGCUGAGGCGCGAAGGCGUGGGUAGCAAACAGG